UGGCAAAUUUUUGUAUUUUUUAGUGGAGACAGGGUUUCACCAUGUUGGGUAGGCUGGUCUUGAACUCCUGACCUCAGGUAAUCCACCUGCCUCGGCCUCCCAAAGUGCUGGGAUUACAGGGGUGAGCCACCGUGCCUGGCCCACGUUUUACAAAAGCAAGAUAAGAGGUGUUUUCUUUCUGUCCCUACCGGUGCCCUCUGUCUGGGGCUUCUUCAACAGGGUGCAUGGCAGGCGGUGUUAGUGUUGAACUCAUGGAGACGCCUGUGGCCAGCCCGUGGGGGCAGUUCAGAGGGGCAGGAGGCACUACACAGGUGGCUGGGUACAGGUGCAUUCCCCGAGCUGCCCCCCGACGCUGCCACCGGCGCUGCCACCUGCCCAUAUCCCCGCCUUCCGCAGAGGCUUCAGCCUCCCCUGUACAGAGGCGGGGCAUGGAGCCGGCGGCUUUCAGAACUCCCAGGGUCUCUGCUGCUGUAGACCGGCUAUUUAACCUCCCUUUAAUGCCUGUGUGGAAUGUGCUGGAGAACAACUAGCUACAGUGGGAAAUUCCCCAGGAGAGAAUUCUUUCCUGGAAGCCCAUGCGGACACCCUCGGCCCUGACUGUGGCAGGACGCAGGCAGGCAGUUUUGAGAGACCCCAGCUCUGAUGGACAAGGUGACAGUCGCACCGGGCGUAGCCCAAGGCCAGGAUCCUGAGAGCUGGCUGCCUGCGGCCCGUGGCAUAUUUGCUAGCGCCUUCCAGGCAUAGAACGGUGGCAGUUUUUUCUGUCAAGGACUCACUUUCUAGGGAAGAAGGAGGGUGGUGGGCAGGGCGAGGCCAGGAGGCUGGCGUGGGCUUGCCGGUAGGCGCUUCUGAGCUGGGUGGGCUCGCCUUCUCGCCCUUCCUCCUCUUUCCUUCCUUGUUUCCCCUAAUGACCCGGGCACUUAUUCUAGCCCAGCUCUGGCCUCGCGUCACUACGCUCUGCAAUAGGAGGACGGUAGGGUCCUUGGCCAUGCUGGCUCGCCUGGUCACGGCGACUCCCACGCACGCCCGGACUCCUGGUGCUGGUGCUCGCUCAGCAGGCGCCGCUGGGGGCGGCUGACCGAGGGGCCUGGGCCCAAGAAGCUCUGCUUUAUGAAGACACCGGGCGCAGGGAGGUCCUCCAGUUCCCCCAUCCCACUACCUAUCGCCCAGGCUGGAGUGCAGUGGCGUGAUCUUGGCUCACUGCAGCCUCCACCUCCCGGAUUCAAACGAUUCUCCUGCCUCAGCCUCCCAAGUAGCUGGGAUUACAGGCAUCUGCCACCACGCCCAGCUUUAGAACACAACUUCUGUCCUCAAGGUCAACUCAGAGUCUGUGGUGGCUGCUGGACCUCCAGCCAUCACAUCUGUAUUCUCACACCUAGAAAGUGGGAGGACAGAAAAGCAUGACGGCCUCCUGCCAUUUAGUGGUCUCCCAUUUAACCUGCUUUCCUGGUUAAGAAAUUGUGAAUUCCAGUCACAAUUUUCAUUAUAUUGCCUUUUCAGAUUCUUGCUAUCCUCGUCUGUAAAAAUAGGGAACUCUUCGCUCAUUCGCGAUUCAUUAUUCAUGCAUGCAUUCAUGUGUAUUCAGCAGUAGGCUUGGGGUUGAGCCUACCACUAAAUGCACCUGGGUAAGAUGAUCAGCAUGGCCUGGGAUAAAAAGUGAUUAUCCCUAUCUGUGAAAUGAUGAACACUGGCCGAAUGACAGGCCGGGUGUAAAGUGCUCUGUCUUUGUUACUCUACUUCAUGUUCUCAACAGCUCUAUAGGCUGCUGUGGUCUUAUUUGCUGCAUGAAGACAGCGAGCCUGCAGUAGGUGUGCCUCGUAGUGAUCACUGCACUGUGUGGGGACUGGCGGUGUGGACCAUGGUGUCUGCUGCACCUGUACAGCUGGGUCACAGUAAGCCUCCCGCAGGCACUGCUCUGGGCCCAGCAGACUUGCUGACGACGGGGACAGCUCCGUGCAGGAAGCCUCAGAACAAUGCAUCGCUGCAGCCCAGAGGUCUGGGCACGCCCACGGAGAUUUCCCCUGUGUGUUCUGGAAUGUUUAGUGUGGUUGACCUUGCCAGUGAUUUAUGAAGUAUCUUAAAAAUAGUUUUUACCUAGAAA